UACGUAGGGUCCGAGCGUUGUCCGGAGUUACUGGGCGUAAAGCGCGCGCAGGCGGCGGUGCUGGCCCGGCGUGAAAGCCCCCGGCUCAACCGGGGAGAGUCGUCGGGGACCGCACCGCUUGAGGGCGGUAGGGGCUGGUGGAAUGCCUGGUGUAGUGGUGAAAUGCGUAGAUAUCAGGAAGAACACCAAUGGCGAAGGCAGCUCUCUGGGACGGUACUGACGCUGAGACGCGAAAGCGUGGGGAGCGAACAGG
rnacentral:rRNA from 1 species